rnacentral:rRNA from 1 species
GACGUAGGGCGCGAGCGUUGUCCGGAAUUACUGGGCGUAAAGAGUUCGUAGGCGGUUUGUCGCGUCGUUUGUGAAAACCAGCAGCUCAACUGCUGGCUUGCAGGCGAUACGGGCAGACUUGAGUACUGCAGGGGAGACUGGAAUUCCUGGUGUAGCGGUGAAAUGCGCAGAUAUCAGGAGGAACACCGGUGGCGAAGGCGGGUCUCUGGGCAGUUCCUGACGCUGAGGCACGGAAGGUCAGGGGAGCAAAACGGG